CUCUGCUUCUAUGGCUGCAGCACAGGCUGUGACAUCACCAGAUCGCUUCCUUUGCACUACUAACAAUCAGAGUCCCAACUGGGACAGACCUCAGGCCUGUGAGACCCUACCAUGGACAUAAUUCUCCCCUGCUGGAUAAUCUUUGGUCUCCUGAGGGCGGCACACAUGGCACCAGGGGUCAAGCAAACACCCAGACACAAGAUCACUGAGAUGGGACAGCCUGUGACUCUGAGGUGUGACCCCAUUUCUGGUCAACAGAACAUCUAUUGGUACCGACAGACUGCAGAAAAAGGCAUGGAGUUUAUGGCUUACCUUCUUGAUAAGACCCCCACAGAUAAGGCAGACUUUUUCAGGGAUAGAUUCUCAGCAGAGAAGCCUGAAGGAUCAUACUCCAAUCUGAAGAUUGAUCCUGUGCAGCUGGGAGACUCAGCCAUGUAUCUCUGUGCCAGCAGUGCAGCCACAGCCACACACAGACAUUUCCUGUCCCUACAAAAUCUCAGUACCUCCCCCACUCCCCAGCCUCUGAGUGGCCCUUCUUUCCUCUGGAGGCAGGGAUGUGUAGCUGGUGCAGUGGUUGCUUGUAGUCAGGGCUGA